AGACCUUCAGCUGGGACGCUGGAGGUGAAACCUGGGGACCAGCAAUGGCCUGGGGCAAGGAGAGGGUCCUGCGUCUGAUUAGCUAGUUGGCGGGGUAAUGGCCCACCAAGGCGACGAUCAGUAGCCGGCCUGAGAGGGUGAUCGGCCACACUGGAACUGAGACACGGUCCAGACUAUGACGGGAGGCAGCAGUGGGGAAUUUUGCGCAAUGUACGAGAGUCUGACGCAGCAACGCCGCGUGGGUGAUGAAGGUCUUCGGACUGUAAAACCCUGUCGUCAGGGACGAAGGCAGCAGUGUUAAUAGCGCUGUUGUUUGACGGUACCUGGAGAGGAAGCCCCGGCUAACUCUGUGCCAGCAGCCGCGGUAAUACAGAGGGGGCAAGCGUUAUUCGGAAUUAUUGGGCGUAAAGGGCGCGUAGGCGGUUUUUUAAGUCAGAUGUGUAAUCCCCCGGGCUUAACCUGGAACUGCAUCUGAGACUGGAAGGCUAGAGUACUGGAGAGGGUGGUGGAAUUCCUCGUGUAGCGGUGAAAUGCGUAGAUAUGAGGAGGAACACCAGUGGCGAAGGCGGCCACCUGGACAGUAACUGACGCUGAGGCGCGAAAGUGUGGGUAGCAAACAGGAUUAGAUACCCUGGUAGUCCACGCUGUAAACGAUGAACACUUGGUGUGGAGGGAGUUGACCCCUUCCGUGCCGGAGCUAACGCGUUAAGUGUUCCGCCUGGGGAGUAAGGUCGCAAGGCUGAAACUCAAAGGAAUUGACGGGGGCCCGCACAAGCGGUGGAGCAUGUGGUUUAAUUCGACGCAACGCGAAGAACCUUACCUGGGCUUGAACUGCAUUGGACCGGUCUACCCAUAGGCCUUUCAG
rnacentral:rRNA from 1 species